rnacentral:rRNA from 1 species
GAUGAACGCUGGCGGCGUGCUUAACACAUGCAAGUCGAACGAUGAAGCCCAGCUUGCUGGGUGGAUUAGUGGCGAACGGGUGAGUAACACGUGAGUAACCAGCCCUUGACUCUGGGUUACGCCUGGGAAACUGGGUCUAAUACUGGAUAUGACUUCUCAUCGCAUGGUGGGGGGUGGAAAGAUUUAUUGGUCUUGGAUGGACUCGCGGCCUAUCAGCUUGUUGGUGAGGUAAUGGCUCACCAAGGCGACGACGGGUAGCCGGCCUGAGAGGGUGACCGGCCACACUGGGACUGAGACACGGCCCAGACUCCUACGGGAGGCAGCAGUGGGGAAUAUUGCACAAUGGGCGCAAGCCUGAUGCAGCGACGCCGCGUGAGGGAUGACGGCCUUCGGGUGGUAAACCUCUUUCAGUAGGGAAGAAGCGAGAGUGACGUUACCUGCAGAAGAAGCGCCGGCUAACUACGUG